GUGAGCAAAACAGAAAUAAUAAGUGAAAACGUCAAAACUGGGGUACAGCAGUCAACAUUCUAAUAUAAUCUUAAUCACUAUAAUAACAAAUACCUGUAUAAACAAAGAAACACAAAAUGACAUGCAGACAAAGUACAUAAGCAAAUCUGAAUGACAAGAACUCAAAAUUGACCAUAGCACAAUGCCAGGAUGAAUAUGUUAUGAUCCACCUCAUAAGUAUAUAACAAAAAUUAAUAAACAGUAACGGUCAAAAUUAUAUAAGAAAAAAAA
rnacentral:lncRNA from 1 species